CUGUGCAGAACAGGUGGCCGCCGGUUCCCUUUGGGGAACGGGAGGAAAGUCCGAGCUCCGCAGGGCAGGAUGCUGGGUAACACCCAGUGGGGGAAACCCCAAGGAAAGUGCCACAGAAAACAGACCGCCCGCCCUUCAGAGGACGGGUAAGGGUGAAACGGUGAGGUAAGAGCUCACCAGCGGCCCGGGUGACCGGGUCGGCUCGGCAAACCCCAUCCGGAGCAAGAUCAAAUAGGAGGGCGUCUCCCCUUGAGGGAGAAAGGAUGGCCCGUCCGAAGCCCUCGGGUAGGAUCGCUUGAGGCAUGGGGCAACCCAUGCCCUAGAGGAAUGGCCACCCCCCUUUCGGGGGAAACCCCGGAGGGGGACAGAACUCGGCUUAUGGGCUGCUCAGGCGU
rnacentral:RNase_P_RNA from 1 species